AUCGCUUCUCGGCCUUUUGGCUAAGAUCAAGUGUAGUAUCUGUUCUUAUCAGUUUAAUAUCUGAUACGUCCCCUACCCGGGGGCCAUAUAUUAAAUUGAUUUUUGGAGCAGGGAGAUGGAAUAGGGGCUUGCUCCGUCCACUCCACGCAUCGACCCGGUAUUGCAGUACUUCCGGGAACGGUGCACCCCUC
rnacentral:snRNA from 1 species